CUCCUGAAGGAGGGCAUGGCAACCCCACUCCAGCAUCCUUGCCUGGAGAAUCCCAUGGACAGAGGAACCUGGUGGGCUGCAGUCCAUUUGGUCGCAAAGAGUGGGACAGGACCGAAGUGACUUAGCAGCAACAGCAGCAGCAGCGGGAGGUUGUUUAACAGAAGUGAUGCCAUUUGCUCUGUGUGCUCAGAAACUGGGGAAAUUACCCUGGAUGAUUGCUGCCCCAUGGAGUUUGUUGAUUCUGUUAACUUUCCUCCUGUUUGAAGCCCCAGACCACUACUCCUAAGACCCUCUUUUGUUUUUAAAUGAAGAUGAUAUUUAAUGUGAGAAUUUCAGCCAUUUUGAAUUGGCUUCAGUUCAGUUCAGUUGCUCAGUUGUGUCCGACUCUGUGACCCCAUGGACUGUAGCACGCCAGGCCUCCCUGUCCAUCACCAACUCCUGGAGUUUACUCAAACUCAUGUCCGUUGAGUCGGUGAUGCCAUCCAACCAUCUCAUCCUCUGUCGUCCCCUUCUCCUCCUGCCUUCAAUCUUUCCCAGCUUCAGGGUCUUUUCAUGUAACCUGAUUUAUAAGCUAAAAGAAUGAUUAUGUAAUGCACUGGAAUAUUUGAUAAAAAGUCAUCUACAAUAAACCAAAAGAAUACAUAAAGAAGCUAAAGACGCUGAAAAUCUCAAUGCAACCCAAAUCCUGGAAC
ensembl:lncRNA